CCCCCGUGAAGCAACCCAUAACCCCCCCCUUAAGUGACCCACGAGUUGGGGGGGGGGAUGAAGGGGGACCCAUAACCCCCCCAUAACCCCCCCCCAUUACACGACCCACAAGUUGGGAUGGGGGGACGAAGGGGGACCCAUAACCCCCCCAUAACCCCAUAACCCCCCCCGUGAAGCGACCCACAAGUUGGGAUGGGGGGAUGAUGGGGGGGUGGGGGAUGAUGGGGGGUGGGGGGUGGGGGGGGGUGGGGGAUUGGGGGGGGGAUUGGUUGGGUUGAGGCAAUGGGGGAAGGCCAUAGGGAUCCCUGCUUGUCCCCAUAGCUGCCCCAUGGGGUCUUGGGUUGGGUUGAGGCAAUGGAGAAGGCCCAUCAGCAAUGGGGGAAGGCCAUAGGGAUCCCUGCUUGUCCCCAUAGCUGCCCUAUAGCUGCCCCAUGGGUGCCCCAUGGCCAACGUUGGGUCAACCCAAUGGGGGAAGGCCAUCAGUCCCAUUGUUUAUCUGUUAAGGAGAGCCCAUAGCGGCCCCUGGUUGUCUUUGAGGUGUCCCCAUAGCACCCAUAGCUGCCCCAUGGCCCUCGUUGGGUCUUGGGUUGGGUUGAGGCAAUGGGGGAAGACCAUCAGUCCUAUUGUUUGUGUGUUGAUGGAACCCCAUAGUGAUCCCUGGUUGUCCCCAUAGCUGCCCCAUAGCUGCCCUAUAGCAUCUCUCUGUGCCCCAUAGCUGCCCCAUGGCCAACGUUGGGUCAACCCAAUGGGGGAAGGCCAUCAGUCCUAUUGUUUGUGUGUUGAUGAAACCCCAUAGCGACCCCUGGUUGUCCCCAUAGCACCCAUGGGUGCCCCCUAGUGCCCCUGUGUGCCCCAUAGCACCCCUGUGUGCCCCACAGAAGCCCCCCUCCCCCAUCCCCCACCCCCCCCCCCCAAUAAAGUGCUUUAAUCCGUUU
rnacentral:lncRNA from 1 species